ensembl:lncRNA
ACUUAGCCCUGCUGAGUAAAAGGUUAAUUUGAUGAAGGAGACCACUGAAGGUGUUACAGAUCAUCUCUGGGGUCAGCUUCUUCAGGUAUAUUUAGUAAGGCAUAAGUUUAGACAAGUUAUAUGCAUUCAAAAAGUAUAAAACAAUUAUUGAUCAGAUCACACAAAAAGUUUCAUCAAACCAUUAUGCAAAGCCUUAGUGCAGGCAUCAUCCCUGCCUGACAAGGCACCCAGAGCCGUUGCCAGGUAGGCAGGAGGGGAAGGAGCAGUUUCCAAGAUUCCCUGGGACUGAUCCUCACCACAUCUGGAAUUGCCAACUUCAUUGGCUCCACCAAUGCCGAUGGCAUUAAUGGUUUAACCUGAUAAACAGAUGGACAGUACAACAACAGAUUGGCUUUGCCUAUACACACAAAUACACACACACACACACACACACACACACUGGCCAAGUGGUCACCACCCCCCAGUGCUGCUCACCACCUUAUAAAAGGCCUUCUCCAAAAAAAAAAAGUAAUGGAUGUAGCCUUCUUUAGCUACAAAUAGCACUCCUUGUGGAACCAAAGAAACAGCUUUCUGAGAAGGAAGUUCUUCACCAUACUGCUCAAGCUCCUCUCCCUCCAUGGGAAUUACCCAUAAUGACCGUUUUAGGAAGGCUGUUCUUUAGGAUCAUUGUCUCCCCUAGGUCUGUAAGCUAGACUGACCCCUGCAAGUUGCCUCUAACAACUAAACUUCCCUCUCAGCCCUCUGAGCAGGGCCAUUUUCAGCUGUUUAGCAACUGCCUGCUAAAGCUGAGCCAAUGUGGAUUUUGUCCACAUGCAAGAUUAAGGAUAAUCAGUGGCUUCCUCAUGCCUUUGUUUUGUGGGUAGAGGUUUAUCUGCACCCACCAGUUGCUUCUAGGUUGUUUUUAUAAACUCCCCACCCCUCCUAAAAUAACAUCAGUAUUCAGCUGCGACCACCAAUGGAAAGACGGUCACUAAGUCAUUCUAUGGAAGACAUAAUCUGAUGCUGUUUUCUGCAACAGCAGAGCACUUGCUUCACACCACAUGACAGCACUCACCCCUAUGAACACCAGCCCUGAUGGGACUCCUGAUCCUGAGAUUCCUUCCAAUAGAAUCAAGGGACCCUGAGUGCACAGCUGGACUGGAAAACAUGGAGCAGCAAUGUACACUCCUAGUAAUUACAUCCCAAAUGUAUUACUACAGCAAAGUGUUUAAAUCCAACAAGCUCCAGCAUGUGGUCAGACUAUUCAGAAAUUACCCACCAAGGACAUCACAAGAAUCCUUUCAGCAACUCAGACAAACCUGAUCCCUUGGCUGUUCACUUAGCAACCUUCCCUUCACCUAAUGUUAUGUUCAACCCAAAGGAAGCAGUAGGUCAAUCUUGAAUACUAUGCAGAGGUUAACAAAGACAACUCUCAAGGCCUAGUAGCAUUUCCCUCCUGUUAUUUCAUAAUUGUCCAUAGUUUAGAAAUCACUUUCCAAACACUACUUUUUACUGCUACUGACAGCUACCUGAGCUGA